GCUUGCUUCUUGGGUGACUGACGUGGCGGACGGGUGAGUAAUGUCUGGGAAACUGCCCGAUGGAGGGGGAUAACUACUGGAAACGGUAGCUAAUACCGCAUAACGUCUUCGGACCAAAGUGGGGGACCUUCGGGCCUCACGCCAUCGGAUGUGCCCAGAUGGGAUUAGCUAGUAGGUGGGGUAACGGCUCACCUAGGCGACGAUCCCUAGCUGGUCUGAGAGGAUGACCAGCCACACUGGAACUGAGACACGGUCCAGACUCCUACGGGAGGCAGCAGUGGGGANUAUUGCACAAUGGGCGCAAGCCUGAUGCAGCCUUG
rnacentral:rRNA from 1 species